rnacentral:lncRNA from 1 species
AGCAGCCCCACCGCCGUUCACGCCGGAAACGGGGACCGCUAGUGCUCAUUCUUAGGGUACUCCACCCGGAAACAAAAAAUAUGGAACGUGCCUUCCUCUUGCAGGCGGGAGAUCCCUGCUGGGGAUAAAUCCAUCAACCUUGGGGCCGCAGAUGGCCUGUGAAAGAGGCGGAGCUAGAACCCAGGACAGGGCCAGAAGGAUGAGUAGGCGGGGCCUCGAGAGCCACGUCUUGAAAAUUUUUUUUGAGGUAGCCCGGAUCAACCCCGCGCCAAUAUCGCUAGGCGAAUCUACCUUGGCUUUCUAUUGGCUGGACCGUGUCAGGUGACUAGUGUUCCUUCUUCCCCGAUUGGGCGGGAAGGCAGUUGCUGGCGCUGCCGAGUCGGAGUGAAAGUGGGGGUGGGGUAGGCUAGGAGAGUGCUGGGGGCCUGGGCCCCCGGGGCUUCGAGUGAAGACGGAACCCUCGGGGCGGCCUUCGGAGCGGGAGUGGGAGCUCAGGAGAGCUCGCUGGGCGCGAGCUCAGCCGGCCGCCGGGCCCCGCGGGUAGGGGCGAGUUCUUGGGCCGCUCCUCCGGCGAGCGGGUAGGAGUCGAGGCUGACUCGGACCGUUUGGCUCCCCCGGAGCAGGACUUCUUGGAGGACCCAGUUAAAUCGAUUUCCCAGCUGCUGAUGGGAUACUUCGGAAAUGAUAGCUGAGCCCAGCCCAGCCCCCGACACCAGCCAAACAGAAAAUGAUGGCCAAGAGGCAACUGCACCAGCAUCUGCUGUACAAAAUGGUGGCUGUGUGAAAAACCCUAGCAACUUGACACCAGUAAGUUUUUGUGAGUGGAUGAGGGCACGUGAGUACAUGUGUGUGUAUGUGUAAAUUUCUGUAUGUCUAUGCACAAUCCUAUUUAUUUGUAUAGAUGUAUAGACAGAAUUACUAUAAUGUAAUAAAACAGAUCUGUAUUUUGUGUAAGUGGCUUCA